UAAAGUUGUUGCAGUUAAAAAGCUCGUAGUUGAACCUUGGGUCUGGCUGGCCGGUCCGCCUCACCGCGUGUACUGGUCCGGCCGGGCCUUUCCUUCUGGGGAGCCGCAUGCCCUUCACUGGGCGUGUCGGGGAACCAGGACUUUUACUUUGAAAAAAUUAGAGUGUUCAAAGCAGGCCUUUGCUCGAAUACAUUAGCAUGGAAUAAUAGAAUAGGACGUGUGGUUCUAUUUUGUUGGUUUCUAGGACCGCCGUAAUGAUUAAUAGGGAUAGUCGGGGGCAUCAGUAUUCAAUUGUCAGAGGUGAAAUUCUUGGAUUUAUUAAAGACUAACUUAUGCGA
rnacentral:rRNA from 1 species